CAGAAACAUAAAUUAUAUAGGAGACAAAAAGUUUGUCCGACCAGCCGACCAGCAACUGUUGUUAUCAGUGAAUCUAUUUUUAGAAAAAUCCUUGUUAUAAAUAAAAAGGUACAUUUUCAGGUUCACCAAAUUGAGUUUUCAUUUUCAUAUCUAUUAUAGCUAUUAACAAUGAACCAAUCUUAAACAAGUGUAUUUAAUCUUUAUACUUGUGUUUUGUUUUAUACCAUAAUAAUACAAACUAUAUUACAACAUCAUAUACAUAUCCCUGCUAGCGCCAGGACAUUAAUUUAUGUAAUUAACUAGGGCACAACAUUUUUAUUAUUUCGUGCGAGCAGAGUAUAAUCACUUAUUUUUAAGUGAAUAAUCAGUGAAUUCUUCGGAGGAAAAUACGCUGCUUAAACAACUAUCAAUGCUGAUAGGAGCAUGUAUCUACCGCAGAAACUCUGCUCAGUCUGUAUUGGUUUUUAUCCGUGGAUUACAAUCCGUAGCUAAGUAAACGCCAUUUGUAAUGGAUAAAUUAGUGUCAACCUACUUGUUUUAAAUUGCAUUUGUAGCGUAAAUAGUGCAGAAUUGAGAAAUGUAGGAAAAGGGGACUGCCUAUAAAUCCGUAUAUCCACCUUUACCAGCAGAGCAAAAUCCGUAAGAAACUCACAAGAUGGUAACUAACGAGAAUCAAGAGGCACCAGCAGCAGACGAUGUAAAGUUCACCACGACGGUUAAACAGGAUGGAGCAUUGCCCACUGUUCGAAGAGUUAAUAUAUUAUUUUGGUCUAACUUUGUAGGUGUCCUUCUGUUACUGGUUGGAUUUGUCGCCCCUGGUUGGUUGACAAUAACAGCUGAGCAUAAAUUAACAUAUAUACCAAGCAGUUGGUCUGGGAGGACUCAACACAUACAAGAUGUAUACCAAGAUUAUGCACUUUGGUACGUCAUCCAGUGUUACCCGCAUGAUGGUAAAAACAUUGAAUGCGAGACUAUGACGUACAGAUCUAUAAGUGGCAUCUACGCAGACGAAGUUACUAGUUACGAAAAGCUAGCAAUAGCUAGGCUGGAAAAUGAAGGUGGUGACAAAUUCAUGUUUCAUGGAGUAGCACUAAUUUUCGGCUUUUCAAAGUUUGUUCAGAUUCAAACGCUGUACACAAUGGCUUUACUGAUAUCGUUCGCAUUGCUCUAUGUAUGGUAUGACCUUAGGAAAAAAGGUUGUAAGGGGCACAAGUAAUGGUCCUAGCAAAUGGAUGUGGAUUUUUCUGAUUCUCCUGACAAUUCUAGCCAUCGUUCUUAUUUUCAUUGGCGUGUUCAUUUUUGUUGGGGUUCGUGGUAAUUUGGGACAUGAACUUGGUACAGCAUUCGGACUGUUGUUUGCCGUAUUUGGAGGGUGUUUCCUGGGCGUGGUUUUCGUGACGGAGCUUGUACAAGUUCUCUGUUGUAGUAAUUUUGGUGCCUAGUUAUCAUCCAGUACAAUAAACUUCAUUGAAGAUCUAUUGUAACUUAGAGACUUUUUAGUCUUUCCACAGUGAUCGACUAGAAAAAAAGUUAUCCUGUAACUAUAGUAACUGAAAUAGUAUUUCAUAAACUUCUCAGUGUUUAUUUUACAUUGACUCAAAAGGAUGUUAAUAUGUAGAUUGUCAAUAGCUUUUUUGUGUUUGCCAUUCCCAAUAAAGUGUACAGAAAAGAUAAUUAUUAAUGAAAACGAAUUUAUUUUAAAACAGGGAGUAAGAUUAACAAGUAACCCGUUGUGAAGAAUUGUGAAUCCAAAUUGUUAAUUAAUGAAGAUGUGAGGCCUUAGAAGUUUAUAGUGAGAUUAUAAUUAUUAUGAAAUAUGUAUGUCUUCAAACAGUUAUUUUUUGAAGUAAUUUCAAUUUUUGUCAGACAUUUUAUUUUGGUCCAUCUUUUUUAAUUGCCUGACAACAAUGUUUGUAUCCCUUUGAUGAGAAUUGUCACGUGGUAUAAAGUCUUAGCUAAUAUUUAUUUACUAUAGUUGUGACUGUAUAGAAUAUUAGAAUAUAGAAUAUAUAUCAUUGAUCUACACAAAAUGUUAGUACAUUUGAGCCGCGUCACGACAAAACCAACGUUAUGCGUUUGCGACCAGCAUGGAUCCAGACCAGCCUGCGCAUCCGCGCAGUCUGAUCAGGAUCCAUGCUGUUCGCUAUCAGGUUCUCUACUUGAAAAAAGCUUUGUAAGCGAACAGCAUGGAUCCUGAUCAGACUGCACGGCUGCGCAGGCUGGUCUGGAUCCAUGCUGGUCGCAAACGCAUUACGUUGGUUUUGUCGUGACGCGGCUCAUUUGUAAUAUCAUAACACAUGUAGAGGGAGAUAAAGUUAAUUAGUGUCCAGCUUUAUUUGUCAUCCACUGAGAACGCUGUGUUUCUUAAAAAUUCUCCGUGUUAAUUUUCAUAGAAGAAUAAUCAAAUUCCGUUUAUCGUCGCCUUCAUUGUUUCAUAGUGCUUCAUUGAACCGCGUUCGUAAAUAUAGACAGGUUGUGACGUAAUAAAGUGAAUAUUAAUUAAGCUAAAUAAAGCUUGACACUAAAUAUGUUAGUUUUCAUCCGUAGCUGUUCUACAGAAAUUAGAAACAUUCUCUGGUCGCUAUCGCUCCUGUCGAAGUUUCUAAUUUCUGUAGAACAGCACGGGUGAACACUAACAAAUACUUAGCUACAUAUCAUGGUAUUUGGUUUUAUACGUGUCUUUUUUGUUUCUUUUAUUUUAUAUUUACGAUGCAAUCUUGUCGUGGACGAAAAAUAUAUUACUAUUUCUGAAACAUUUAUUUGCAUAUAUAAUUUUCCCGUUAAUUCUUUUAAUGUUGUUUUAACGUUGUUAGAGUUGUUUUUGUUGUUGAAAUAUUUAAGUCCACGUUGUGGAAUAAAUUGAUCUCUUUUUUUCUUUUUUAGUGUUCUACUUGUAUUUUAUCCAGGUUUCUAGUAGCUUCUUUCGUAAACUGUAUAUUUAGAACGUUUCUCU